UCUUGCCUGGAGAAUCCCAGGGACGGGGGAGCCUGGUGGGCUGCCGUCUAUGGGGUCGCACAGAAUCGGACACGACUGAAGCGAUAUAGCAGCAGCAGCAGCAGGAAGGCUUCCACAGCUUUCCAUGCUUUUAACUAGUGUAUGGAAAGGUUGUUUAUAGCCAGGGUAGAGUUUCAUGAGAUGAAGCUGGAAAGGCAAGCAGAAGUGAUGACAUGCAUGCUAAGUUAAGAUGCACACAGACCUGCUCAUUUCUCCCCGCAUCUCAAGCAUUUUGGGUUUCUGUGACUCUGUCUAUUCUGCUUUCUUUUCCCAGGAUGCUUUCCCCACCCACUCUGCCUUGAGAUGCCCACUCUUCCUGGGAGGUUCAGCUGGAACAUCUAUCACCUUCGCUAUGAAACUCGGAUCACCACCCCUUGCCUUUCCCUGGGAAGCAGUGACAGGAUCAUCUCUGUCCCUCUACUGAACUUGAUGAAGAAGGAAGCCUGCUAGCACAAGGGUGACAUCCAGUGGUGAAAAGGAAUUUAUUCUCCCAUUGUCCCAUUCCCUGAAAAAUUACAAGUCCGUGGGAGAACCCAGUCUACACACCUCCUUGCACUGGUUCAGUGGUGGGUUUUUUUGUCCCAGGUAACUGAUGCCACUCCAGGAAGAUGCCUGGCCUGAACUGCACUCUUGGAAACUCAGCGGGGAGGUUUUGGUCUUUGUUGAACUUGGUCUUCGCCUUCCCCGUGCUCUGCCUGCCUGCUGACCACCCUCUGUGGCUCUGUUCCCAGCCCGGUGUCAUUCACAGGCGUGGGUCCAGAGCCCCUGGCCUCCAGCCUCACAC